rnacentral:rRNA from 1 species
CUACGGACGCUGCAGUGGGGAAUAUUGCACAAUGGGGGAAACCCUGAUGCAGCAACGCCGCGUGGAGGAUGACACAUUUCGGUGCGUAAACUCCUUUUAUAGGUCAAGAUAAUGACGGUAGCCUAUGAAUAAGCGCCGGCUAACUCCGUGCCAGCAGCCGCGGUAAUACGGAGGGCGCAAGCGUUACUCGGAAUCACUGGGCGGAAAGAGCAUGUAGGCGGGUUAAUAAGUCAGAAGUGAAAUCCAAUAGCUCAACUAUUGAACUGCUUUUGAAACUGUUAACCUAGAGUGUGGGAGAGGUAGAUGGAAUUUCUGGUGUAGGGGUAAAAUCCGUAGAGAUCAGAAGGAAUACCGAUUGCGAAGGCGAUCUACUGGAACAUUACUGACGCUGAGAUGCGAAAGCGUGGGGAGCAAACAGGAUUAGAUACCCUAGUAGUC